AAAAAAAGGGCUGUAGACGCUCUCAUACAAACAAGAUCCAAUCGCCCACGCGCAGCCGCCCCACCAGCCACGACCGACCCGCAAACCCUAGCCGCCUCCGCCUCCACUUCAGCAAUGGUCGUCGCCUUUGCGGCUCGACGGCGAUGCCAGAUACCUCUCCCGCGCGCUGGCCUGUGCUGCGCCGCACAACCGGAAGCCCGGCGGCCGGCAGGACCAUGCAGGGGCAUGUUGUGGGUCGCCCCGGCCGACAGAAGCUCAGCCCCGCAUCCUUGCUGUACAGCAAAUCUCUGCCUUGUCCACACUCGCAAUUACCCCCAUCAAAGGAUGAAUUUUUCGAUAUGGUAGCUCAUCUUUCCCCAACCCCUCUUCGGUUUCCCCCUGCGAUUUGGGCUGCUCCGGCUGGCGGAUCUCCCGGUUAUUCUCAUCGGACAAGUUGCUUCUCUGUGUUGAUGGUUGCAGACUUUUAUUUUCAAAAUUGCUUCUUUUAUUUGUUUCUGGGAUGUCGUUUGAUUGCUCUACUAUUCGUUGUUGUAUAAGGGUUGCAAUUUUGUUUUUCGCAGGUUGCUGGUCCUCUCCGUCGCUGCGAUUGCUGUCAGGUGAGUCUCCAUGAGUGCACCGGCAGCAUCCUUUAGAUGCAUAUAUGAUUUCUGAGAUGCAUAUGAUUUCUCUGUUAGACUGCCACCAGGCAACUGUUACUAUCAUAUGCUUUCUGAGAUGCAUAUGAUUUCUCCUUUAGACAUGGUCAUAUGGUCUAAAUUUCAUAAAGAGAAGUCGUCGAAUAUUAUGCUUGGGUUCAUGUGUGUGCACACUCAGUUAUGAAAUAUAGCCAUGGGGUGUAGAAUUUCCAUCUUUGCUUAGCCCGGGGAUUCUUUUCUAGGAUGCAAUUUCGGUACCAUAGGGUUGCUGAGUUGCAUAUGGUUUCCCUUUUUGGACAUGGGCAUGUGCCACGCAGUAUAGCAUUUACAGGCAUGUCAUGGAAAUUGCAAGUAAAAGCCUAAAUGGUUACUCUGACCCUAUUGCUUCUCUGGGAGUGAGACAUGGUGAUGGAAUCUAGAGAUGCUUACUAAUCUGUAACAAUGAGAUGAGCUCGCCUGUCAUAUUGUUGAUUCUGUAAUACAGAUUAAAUUGUGAUCAAUUUGGGUCAAUCUUACAAUUGAUAACCCUUCUUCUUCCCAUAUUGUUGAUUCUCUUACAGAUCCACCUCCCAUGUUAGUAUGUUACCGACAAGGGUCUGUAUGCAUUAGUGGUUUAGUAUGGGGAGUGUCUAAAGAAGACCGGCCCCACUCUGUGGCCAUUGCAGCUGUUGCUAGGCAGGGUACCCAUCAGUGUCACUUCAUGCUGGUUUAAUAUCCUCUUUUUUUCUCCACUUUGGGUAUGGCAGCAGUUCUACAAUGAUGCAGCUGCACGUAAGCGGGAUGUAAUUGUCUUGUUGGCUCUGCACUGAUUGAUCAGGAAGCUAUGCUGGCAAUGAUUGUGCGCUACGGCGCUAGUGAAGCAUCUUCGAGUAGUCUUAUGUUGGUUUAACAAGGUUGGUCCUGGUGUCGCGUGCACACAGACCUGCGGCUCUUGUUGACCUGGUGGUUUUCGUCAGUCUCCGCCGACUGUUGCUCGGCGCCCACCAUGACCUCCUACCCGUGUGCUGUUGAAUGCUCAGGCAGGUGCCGUGGCCUCGUUCGCGUGGGCCUCCCCGCCUGCGACGGUGGCGCCAGCGCUGUACGGCCUCAGGUACAACCGUUAUGUAAGUCCCCUCUGUCCCCUUGCUCCAGGGUAGCCUUCGAGUUAUCGCUGCUCAGUUCCUGCCAUGCUGUGAUUUUGGCGAUGAUAAUCUGCAGCUAUUAUUUUGUGGAUGAUAAACUAUUAUGUUUCAUAAAAGCUCACUAGGUUUUUCCUGCUGAAUGGAUUUUUUUGUUUCACCGCUUGAUUGCUUUUCCAUUGUCUGUGUGGCUCUUCAGAGUGCACAAUGUUUCUAAGGCGGUAAGGUGAGACGAGAUGCACUAGUUCUGUCUCACCUUUUAAUAAGUACUUAAAGCGUGAGGCGAGGCGAGACACACUAGUUCUGCCUCACGUUUUAAGUGCUUAAAGUGUGAGGCGAGAUGAUGCCUUAGGCAGUUUUGAACUUCUAUGGGCGGCAGAGUAGAGUAGCAUCUACAGCCUGUUUGGUUGGGGGGGAUUUAGCGGUAAGGAAUGGGAAUUUAAGGGGUACACGACAUAUAGUCCAUAGUUUGUUUGGGGGGCUAGGGAGUUGAGGAGGGAAGGGGAAAGAAAAUUAAGGAGGCCAAUUCCCACACAUCUCUUCCCUACCCUCCCCCUGUUAAUUCACGUGGAAUGUUACUUCCUCUCAAAUUCCCUCCACUAAUUCCCACCAUACACCAAACAUGGGAUUGGGACUUAAAAUCAACUUCCCAUGCCUAAUCCCCUAAUAAACCCCCACAUGUAAAUUCUCAUCUCUUCCCUACCCUCCCCCUGUUGAUUCACGUGGGAUGUUACUUCCUCUCAAAUUCCCUUCAUUAAUUCCCACCACACACCAAACAUGGGAUUGUGACUCAAAUCAACUUCCCAUGCGUAAUCCCCUACUAAACCCCCAAUGUAAAUUCCCAUCCCCUUUCUCCAUUGUAGCCAAACACGCUAGACAUACACAGUUACACCUUGAAAUCACAGCAUAGCAUGAGAAAUCACAGCAUAAACCGGGGAGCAGUACAACAUUCAUAGCAGAGCAUAUGCAUAGCAUGAGAAAUCACAUCAUAGCACUACAAAUUAGAGCACACAACUACAAAAAUCAUUCACAAAUCAAGGCAGAGCACUAUGAAUUCCUAAAUCAUCAGCCGCUUAGACGUCAUUGUCAUAUUGAUGGACUUUCUAUCUUCUUGGUUCGUGUCGUCAACAUCAGGGCCUCCAAAAAUGUCUAAGCUUAAUAAUGAGUGGAGAUGUCCUGAAAAAAAAAAGGCCCAACUUCUUAGCAUUUGACAUUAGCUUCAAGUUAUUUGGUACUAAAGAGUUUCAAACAUAAAUAGAAUAAAGUACAUCAAUGGCCAUCAUAGACUUGAUAUAUAAAAUUCUUAUGCUAUUCCAUAUAUGAAUGCAUGACGAACAUUUCAUGUUUUAAAAUUAAAAGUCUGAAUCUGUUCCUGGUAACUAGAAUAAACGGAAAAUCUAGGGUACUGAUUUGGAUACUUUGUCCACCUUGGUGCUUAUUUCAGUGUACAGUUGGGCAUUUUGGAGCAAGAGAGAAUACCUUCUAUCACCUUGUCUAGGACCGCGCAGGUUUAGAGGAAUAAACCGAUUUAGAACAUUGUGCCCUUGUUCCUUAAUAGUUGGAAAUUUUGCUCGCCAUUCUGGGCAGGUCUGUAGCAUGUGCAUCCCGAGUAUCAAAGGUCUGAUCAUAACCAUUCUUCUGGUAAACAUUCUGCUUUCUAUAAUCCUUUCACUUCGAAUUUUCAGGGUAGUUCCUCCAUGACAGAAAUUCUGCAAGUAGGAGAUGCAAAGAUAUUAUAAAGUGAAUAAUAGAGAGAGCAUUUAAACUAGACAAUCUUACUUUCUUUUACAAACCUUGAUCUUAUCUUUAGAAGGGUAACUAAAUGUAUGGUCCCUCUGAACAGUCCAUCUAAUCAUUUUAUGAAAGAGCCCCUCACGUGGUGAGGUAUUUAUGAUGCUAAACUGAGGUCUUUUCGCCAAGCUGUUUUGGAGCACUUUAUCUUUCAGAAUCUCCAGUAUAGAUCUUUCCGGAUGAACAAUCUGCAAUUCAAAGUUGUGAAAAGAUCACAAUAUGGAUAUGCAAAAGAUUAAUUCUUGAGUGCUGUUUAACUUUUUACACACCUUGUUAUUAUAUCCGAUUGUGCUCAUCUUUCUUUUGCCAUGCGAGCUUGAAGAACUAACUUCUGCUUUAUUUGAAAACCACCCAUCUCCUUGACUGAGUUUCUGUGCAGAAGCAGGGGGCUUCUCAACAAAUAAACUUUGAACCUUCCCGUUGACAUUGAACAAAUGAAACAAAUCAUCAUCCAUGGGUAUAAAAGAAUCCUCAGGAGGAGGUGCACCUUUUCCGUGCUUCUCCUUGCAAUGUAUGCCUUUUCUAGCAAAUGACUCAUUAGAUGCACUCCAGACAUCCUGCUCUUCUGCUGGUUCAUGACUGAACAUAUCAUCCUUGUAAGCAUCUAUUUGUAGAAUCCUAACCAAUUCGAGAACUUUUUCAAUAGAAUCCACGCCUGGAAAAGCAAUGCCCUCGUCUAGCUCUGGGAGCUCCAAUCCUUCGCGGAGACAGUCCAUAUACUUCAUUGCAUAUGCGCUCAGAUCACUCCAGUUGUGAACGAGAUCAUUCAUCCAUGGAAUAAAAUAGUCAAGCCGGAUAGAAUCUUUGCUGUGGAUGUUCAUAUACAGUGCUUUGAAGAUUAUCUCAAACCUUGGAGCUUCAGCCAUAUAAGCAACAAAAAGACCUACAAACUUGGGGUCUAUGCGCCCCCCGCCAUUAAUUAUGGAGGUAAAAGCUCUUCUUAGGUAGCCGAAACCUGUAAGCAACCCUCCAGGGUCACCGUUGCAUAUAGCACGGUGGUUACCUCUAAAGGACAACACCGUAUGGUCUGAGCAUUUGACAUAGUUCUUGUGGCCAGCCUCUGGUUUUAGCUCGUACACCUUACCACCGAUGCAGUAGGCUUUAACCCACCAGUAUCUACCUUGCUUAAUAAAAGUGAUUUUAUCUUCUUCAUACUUAACAACUGUGCAACAUAUGCCUUUUUCUGGUGUAGUGAAGACGUGUUUUUUUCUGCCGAAAAUUCGAGUCACAUCAACUCGGAUGCCAUUCUUAUAAUUCCACCAUCUUGCAGAUCGGACAUACUUCUUGAAGUUAGCUUGCACCACUUCAGGGGGCCCACUGAUAUCCCAGAUUAGCACAUCCUAAUGUAUGAAACAGGAAUUAAAAAGAAAAUCAUAUAUGCUGCUGUUUUUUUUGUUUGAGUAAUCAUAUAUGUUGUUGUUACUGUCAAAGAGAUCUUCAUUACAUGAAACAACUGCACUUAACUGUUAGUAUAAUCAGUAUGCUUUACAUUUAUUUGAUAUAGCACCCAAAUUAUUCUAGAAAACUACAAUUACUGGUGGAUUAAGGGUUCACAUCAAGCUAUUGUGGAAUAAACUAUUCCCUCUGAUCCAUAUUAGCUAUCGCUCAAACGAAUGUAUCUAGCACUAAAAUACGUCUAGAUACAUCUGUUUGAGCGACAAGUAAUAUGGAUCGGUGGGAGUAUCAUCCUCUGGCUUAACCAUUGCUGCUGCUUUACUUGAAGUUACUUCCAAGACUAGCACCAAGCUAAUGGUCUAUUAUUUUUGUGCCAAAAUAUUCUCUUGAAUUAUUUGGUAUUCAUGUGGCCAUAGUACACAGGCCAACUAAAUACUGAUAAAAAAAUUUGAUUGAUAAUUUUUCAUGCACGGAUGAAAAGACGGAACUUGGAAUCACUAAACAGUUCUGUUGUGCAGUACCUGGAAAUUUGAGAGAUCAUAAGGUCGAGGGACAUGGAUUGAGAAAUUAUCAUCCAACCAUGCAGUUUUGGUUGUGUAUUAAAUUAUUGUAACUUAUAUUUUUCUUUGUAUUUGUCUCUUUUUGACAAUAAAAAUGGAUGUGGUAAUAAUCAUAUGGAUGAGUGUUUUUUGACAGCACCAUAUGGAUGUGUAUGCUAUAAUGCCCGACCUUCGUUUUAGUGUGUUACAACCCAUUCCUCUUAGAGAUGACAUAAUGUAGAAAGACAACUAAUUAUGUGCAUGAAGUCCUAUACAAUUUGAUUUUCUAUGCCAUGUUAGCAUUUGCUUAAUCAUGAACAAUCUUAGUGCAUAUGUUUCCUUUCAGGCGAGAUUCCAACUAACCUUUACAUUUUGCACAUGCUUUUCAAUAUUAGGUAACCUUUACGAUUCUACAAUAUCUGAUAUGUUUUGGAGUAGUUAGUUUAGAAACAAGUGGUAGUUUGGCUUUUACUUCUGUUAAUAAUCAUUUUUUGGUCUGUGCUGAAGACUCCUUAUUAUUUCCUUGUAUAUCUGAAAGGUUUUCCUUCUGAUUAUGUUUGCUGUAUACAACAGAUUGUUCAAAGUUGUAAUGUGUCUGUUAAGAGUUAAUGACCAGUUCAGUCCUUUUUUAAAAACUAAGAAAAGCUUAAGACAAGGGGGCCCCCUGUCCCCCAUUUUAUUCAACAUUGCUAUUGAUUUCUUGCAAGAACUUCUGGAGCUAUUUCUCAAGGAGAGAUUAAAGGGGCAGUGCCUAAUUCAGUAGAAGGUCUAGCGAUGAUUUAAUUGAUGCUGGAGAAAGAAAUGCUGGAAGGACUGUUGUAGUGGCAGUAUUUGUAUUUGUAAGAAAUUUAUUGUAAUAGGCAUGCUAAAGAUUUGGAUGGAAUGUGCGACUCGAUCGGUACUAUUUUUUCUACAGCUUCCUGGAAGUUCAUUUGGCCUAUCUGAUCUUCAGCUCUAUUUGUAAGAAAUUUUUUGUAACACCCAUGGAAAUGUUAAAGAUGUUGAUCCAGUUGAGUUUUUUUU